CAGCCCCUCGAGUGGUGGGGAUGAUUAUUUGGCCUAAAGCGUCCGUAGCCGGCCGAGUAAGUCCCCCGUUAAAUCCAGUGUCUCAAGCGUUGGACUGCGGGAGAUACUACUUGGCUAGAGAGUGGGAGAGGUCAGCGGUAUUCUGGGGGUAGGGGCGAAAUCCUUUGAUCCCCGGAGGACCACCAGUGGCGAAGGCUGCUGACUAGAACACGUCUGACGGUCAGGGACGAAAGCUGGGGUAGCAAACCGGAUUAGAUACCCGAGUAGUCC
rnacentral:rRNA from 1 species